GGUUAAGCGACUAAGCGUACACGGUGGAUGCCCUGGCAGUCAGAGGCGAUGAAGGACGUGCUAAUCUGCGAAAAGCGUCGGUAAGGUGAUAUGAACCGUUAUAACCGGCGAUGUCCGAAUGGGGAAACCCAGUGCAAUUCGUUGCACUAUCGUUAACUGAAUACAUAGGUUAACGAGGCGAACCGGGGGAACUGAAACAUCUAAGUACCCCGAGGAAAAGAAAUCAACCGAGAUUCCCCCAGUAGCGGCGAGCGAACGGGGAGCAGCCCAGAGUCUGAAUCAGCUUGUGUGUUAGUGGAACGGUCUGGAAAGUCCGACGGUACAGGGUGAUAGUCCCGUACACCAAAAUGCACAGGCUGUGAACUCGAAGAGUAGGGCGGGACACGUGGUAUCCUGUCUGAAUAUGGGGGGACCAUCCUCCAAGGCUAAAUACUCCUGACUGACCGAUAGUGAACCAGUACCGUGAGGGAAAGGCGAAAAGAACCCCGGCGAGGGGAGUGAAAAAGAACCUGAAACCGUGUACGUACAAGCAGUGGGAGCACCUUCGGGUGUGACUGCGUACCUUUUGUAUAAUGGGUCAGCGACUUAUAUUCUGUAGCAAGGUUAACCGUAUAGGGGAGCCGCAGGGAAACCGAGUCUUAACUGGGCGUUAAGUUGCAGGGUAUAGACCCGAAACCCGGUGAUCUAGCCAUGGGCAGGUUGAAGGUUGGGUAACACUAACUGGAGGACCGAACCGACUAAUGUUGAAAAAUUAGCGGAUGACUUGUGGCUGGGGGUGAAAGGCCAAUCAAACCGGGAGAUAGCUGGUUCUCCCCGAAAGCUAUUUAGGUAGCGCCUCGUGAAUUCAUCUUCGGGGGUAGAGCACUGUUUCGGCUAGGGGGUCAUCCCGACUUACCAACCCGAUGCAAACUACGAAUACCGAAGAAUGUUAUCACGGGAGACACACGGCGGGUGCUAACGUCCGUCGUGAAGAGGGAAACAACCCAGACCGCCAGCUAAGGUCCCAAAGUCAUGGUUAAGUGGGAAACGAUGUGGGAAGGCACAGACAGCCAGGAUGUUGGCUUAGAAGCAGCCAUCAUUUAAAGAAAGCGUAAUAGCUCACUGGUCGAGUCGGCCUGCGCGGAAGAUGUAACGGGGCUAAACCAUGCACCGAAGCUGCGGCAGCGACACUAUGUGUUGUUGGGUAGGGGAGCGUUCUGUAAGCCUGCGAAGGUGACCUGUGAGGGUUGCUGGAGGUAUCAGAAGUGCGAAUGCUGACAUAAGUAACGAUAAAGCGGGUGAAAAGCCCGCUCGCCGGAAGACCAAGGGUUCCUGUCCAACGUUAAUCGGGGCAGGGUGAGUCGACCCCUAAGGCGAGGCCGAAAGGCGUAGUCGAUGGGAAACAGGUUAAUAUUCCUGUACUUGGUGUUACUGCGAAGGGGGGACGGAGAAGGCUAUGUUAGCCGGGCGACGGUUGUCCCGGUUUAAGCAUGUAGGCUGGUUGUCCAGGCAAAUCCGGAUAAUCAAGGCUGAGGUGUGAUGACGAGGCACUACGGUGCUGAAGUAACAAAUGCCCUGCUUCCAGGAAAAGCCUCUAAGCAUCAGGUAACAUCAAAUCGUACCCCAAACCGACACAGGUGGUCAGGUAGAGAAUACCAAGGCGCUUGAGAGAACUCGGGUGAAGGAACUAGGCAAAAUGGUGCCGUAACUUCGGGAGAAGGCACGCUGGUGUGUAGGUGAAGUCCCUGCGGAUGGAGCUGAGACCAGUCGAAGAUACCAGCUGGCUGCAACUGUUUAUUAAAAACACAGCACUGUGCAAACACGAAAGUGGACGUAUACGGUGUGACGCCUGCCCGGUGCCGGAAGGUUAAUUGAUGGGGUUAUCCGUAAGGAGAAGCUCUUGAUCGAAGCCCCGGUAAACGGCGGCCGUAACUAUAACGGUCCUAAGGUAGCGAAAUUCCUUGUCGGGUAAGUUCCGACCUGCACGAAUGGCGUAAUGAUGGCCAGGCUGUCUCCACCCGAGACUCAGUGAAAUUGAACUCGCUGUGAAGAUGCAGUGUACCCGCGGCAAGACGGAAAGACCCCGUGAACCUUUACUAUAGCUUGACACUGAACAUUGAGCCUUGAUGUGUAGGAUAGGUGGGAGGCUUUGAAGCGUGGACGCCAGUCUGCGUGGAGCCAACCUUGAAAUACCACCCUUUAAUGUUUGAUGUUCUAACGUUGGCCCCUUAUCGGGGUUGCGGACAGUGUCUGGUGGGUAGUUUGACUGGGGCGGUCUCCUCCCAAAGCGUAACGGAGGAGCACGAAGGUUAGCUAAUCCUGGUCGGACAUCAGGAGGUUAGUGCAAUGGCAUAAGCUAGCUUGACUGCGAGCGUGACGGCGCGAGCAGGUGCGAAAGCAGGUCAUAGUGAUCCGGUGGUUCUGAAUGGAAGGGCCAUCGCUCAACGGAUAAAAGGUACUCCGGGGAUAACAGGCUGAUACCGCCCAAGAGUUCAUAUCGACGGCGGUGUUUGGCACCUCGAUGUCGGCUCAUCACAUCCUGGGGCUGAAGUAGGUCCCAAGGGUAUGGCUGUUCGCCAUUUAAAGUGGUACGCGAGCUGGGUUUAGAACGUCGUGAGACAGUUCGGUCCCUAUCUGCCGUGGGCGCUGGAGAAUUGAGGGGGGCUGCUCCUAGUACGAGAGGACCGGAGUGGACGCAUCACUGGUGUUCGGGUUGUCAUGCCAAUGGCACUGCCCGGUAGCUAAAUGCGGAAGAGAUAAGUGCUGAAAGCAUCUAAGCACGAAACUUGCCCCGAGAUGAGUUCUCCCUGAGACUUUAAGUCUCCUGAAGGAACGUUAAAGACGAUGACGUUGAUAGGCCGGGUGUGUAAGCGCAGCGAUGCGUUGAGCUAACCGGUACUAAUGAACCGUGAGGCUUAACCUU
rnacentral:rRNA from 1 species